CUUAUACUUCCUCUGUCCGAAAAUAUUUGUCAUCAAAAUGGAUAAAAGAGAACAUAUCUAGACGUAUUUUAGUUCUAGAUACAUCUCUGUUUAUCCAUUUUGAUAAUAAGUAUUUUCGGACGGAGGGAAUAUAAA
rfam:Triticum aestivum genome assembly, contig: Triticum_aestivum_CS42_TGACv1_scaffold_526630_6DL